CGGGAGGCAGCAGUGGGGAAUCUUAGACAAUGGGCGCAAGCCUGAUCCAGCCAUGCCGCGUGUGUGAUGAAGGCCUUAGGGUCGUAAAGCACUUUCGCCAGAGAUGAUAAUGACAGUAUCUGGUAAAGAAACCCCGGCUAACUCCGUGCCAGCAGCCGCGGUAAUACGGAGGGGGUUAGCGUUGUUCGGAAUUACUGGGCGUAAAGCGCACGUAGGCGGAUUAGWCAGUCAGRGGUGAAAUCCCAGGGCUCAACCCUGGAACUGCCUYUGAUACUSCUAGUCUUGAGUUCGAGAGAGGUGAGUGGAAUUCCGAGUGUAGAGGUGAAAUUCGUAKAUAUUCGGAGGAACACCAGUGGCGAAGGCGGCUCACUGGCUCGAUACUGACGCUGAGGURCGAAAGUGUGGGGAGCAAACAGGAUUAKAUACCCUGGUAGUCCACACCGUAAACKAWGAAUGCCAGYCGUCGGGCAGUAUACUCUUCGGUGACACACCUAACGCAUUAAGCAUUC
rnacentral:rRNA from 1 species